rnacentral:misc_RNA from 1 species
GAAAUGCGAUACGCAAUGCGAAUUGCAGAAUUCCGCGAGUCAUCAGAUUUUUGAACGCAACUGGCGCCAGUUUACUGGCAUGUCUGUUUCAGUGUGCUUGGGAGAAAACAUAAAUCAUAUAAUAACUGAUUGCGAUUGAGGUGCAAACUUCUUUCGUUAAAUAUGAAGGUGUGAGAAGAGUAUAGACUCACACUGGAAAACGAAGUAGUCACGCUGAGUUCGUGAUCUCGUUUAACCGGUGCUUGAAGGUCAACUCUGUAAAAAUCACAUCUCAGCUUAACCAAUCUCCAAUUUGGCAUCUGAAAUCAGGCAAGGGUACCCGCUGAACUUAA